rnacentral:tRNA from 1 species
UGGAUCACCUCCUUAUAGGGAGACCUAAUUCGGGUAUGGGACGAAAAAAAAGUAGUCGCUACCAAGAAUCAAUCCCAAAAGGUCGGAGCGAGGCAUGAGGCUUUCAAACUAUGUUCUGGGUUCUUAAAAAACCUGAAUCAGGAACAAGGGCUAUUACCUCAGGUGGUUAAAGCGCACCCCUGAUAAGGGUGAGGUUCCUGGAUCAAGUCCAGGAUGGCCCACCUCCACAGGUGGCAAAAACAAAAAACCGAGGAAUCACCACCUGCUCUUACUUAUAUGGUAAAAAAAAAUGCUGGCUCUGAGUAUAGAGUCCAAAGGAACCUUGAAAACUGCAUAAU